CUCCUUUGACGUUAGCGGCGGACGGGUGAGUAACACGUGGGUAACCUACCUAUAAGACUGGGAUAACUUCGGGAAACCGGAGCUAAUACCGGAUAAUAUUUCGAACCGCAUGGUUCGAUAGUGAAAGAUGGUUUUGCUAUCACUUAUAGAUGGACCCGCGCCGUAUUAGCUAGUUGGUAAGGUAACGGCUUACCAAGGCGACGAUACGUAGCCGACCUGAGAGGGUGAUCGGCCACACUGGAACUGAGACACGGUCCAGACUCCUACGGGAGGCAGCAGUAGGGAAUCUUCCGCAAUGGGCGAAAGCCUGACGGAGCAACGCCGCGUGAGUGAUGAAGGUCUUCGGAUCGUAAAACUCUGUUAUUAGGGAAGAACAUACGUGUAAGUAACUAUGCACGUCUUGACGGUACCUAAUCAGAAAGCCACGGCUAACUACGUGCCAGCAGCCGCGGUAAUACGUAGGUGGCAAGCGUUAUCCGGAAUUAUUGGGCGUAAAGCGCGCGUAGGCGGUUUUUUAAGUCUGAUGUGAAAGCCCACGGCUCAACCGUGGAGGGUCAUUGGAAACUGGAAAACUUGAGUGCAGAAGAGGAAAGUGGAAUUCCAUGUGUAGCGGUGAAAUGCGCAGAGAUAUGGAGGAACACCAGUGGCGAAGGCGACUUUCUGGUCUGUAACUGACGCUGAUGUGCGAAAGCGUGGGGAUCAAACAGGAUUAGAUACCCUGGUAGUCCACGCCGUAAACGAUGAGUGCUAAGUGUUAGGGGGUUUCCGCCCCUUAGUGCUGCAGCUAACGCAUUAAGCACUCCGCCUGGGGAGUACGACCGCAAGGUUGAAACUCAAAGGAAUUGACGGGGACCCGCACAAGCGGUGGAGCAUGUGGUUUAUUCGAAGCAACGCGAAGAACCUUACCAAAUCUUGACAUCCUUUGACAACUCUAGAGAUAGAGCCUUCCCCUUCGGGGGACAAAGUGACAGGUGGUGCAUGGUUGUCGUCAGCUCGUGUCGUGAGAUGUUGGGUUAAGUCCCGCAACGAGCGCAACCCUUAAGCUUAGUUGCCAUCAUUAAGUUGGGCACUCUAAGUUGACUGCCGGUGACAAACCGGAGGAAGGUGGGGAUGACGUCAAAUCAUCAUGCCCCUUAUGAUUUGGGCUACACACGUGCUACAAUGGACAAUACAAAGGGCAGCGAAACCGCGAGGUCAAGCAAAUCCCAUAAAGUUGUUCUCAGUUCGGAUUGUAGUCUGCAACUCGACUACAUGAAGCUGGAAUCGCUAGUAAUCGUAGAUCAGCAUGCUACGGUGAAUACGUUCCCGGGUCUUGUACACACCGCCCGUCACACCACGAGAGUUUGUAACACCCGAAGCCGGUGGAGUAACCAUUUGGAGCUAGCCGUCGA
rnacentral:rRNA from 1 species